GACGAACGCUGGCGGCGUGCUUAACACAUGCAAGUCGAACGAAGUGGCGAACGGGUGAGUAACGCGUCAUCAACCUGCCCUUCAGAGGGGGACAACAGUUGGAAACGACUGCUAAUCCCGCAUACUGAAUGAGGGGCUUGCGUGGGAUUAGCUAGUUGGGGGGGUAACGGCCCACCAAGGCGAUGAUCAGUAGCCGGGGUGAGAGGAAGAACGGCCACCAUGGGACUGGGACACGGGCCAGACUCCGACGGGAGGCAGCAGGUGGGAAUCUUUCGCAAUUGACGAAAGUCCUACGGAGCAACGCCGCGUGAGUGAUGACGGCCUUCGGGUUGGAAAGCUCUGUUAAGCGGGACGCGGUACCGGAAGAGAAAGCCACGGCUAACUACGUGCCAGCAGCCGCGGUAAUAC
rnacentral:rRNA from 1 species